rnacentral:ribozyme from 14 species
ACACGAAAUAAAUAAAAAAAAGAGAGAAGAGACACACGACAACGAACGCGCACAUUUAUUUGCUCUCUCUCUCUUUCUCUCUCUCUUGCUCCUCCUCCUCCUUUUCUUCUUCUUCUUCUAACC